rnacentral:rRNA from 1 species
UACGAAGGGGGCUAGCGUUGCUCGGAAUCACUGGGCGUAAAGCGCACGUAGGCGGCUUUUUAAGUUGGUGGUGAAAUCCUGUAGCUCAACUCCAGAACUGCCUCCGAUACUGAAAGGCUCGAGUCCGGGAGAGGUGAGUGGAACUGCGAGUGUAGAGGUGAAAUUCGUAGAUAUUCGCAAGAACACCAGUGGCGAAGGCGGCUCACUGGCCCGGUACUGACGCUGAGGUGCGAAAGCGUGGGGAGCAAACAGG